rnacentral:rRNA from 1 species
GAUGAACGCUGGCGGCGUGCCUAAUACAUGCAAGUCGAGCGAACAGACGAGGAGCUUGCUCCUCUGACGUUAGCGGCGGACGGGUGAGUAACACGUGGAUAACCUACCUAUAAGACUGGGAUAACUUCGGGAAACCGGAGCUAAUACCGGAUAAUAUAUUGAACCGCAUGGUUCAAUAGUGAAAGACGGUUUUGCUGUCACUUAUAGAUGGAUCCGCGCCGCAUUAGCUAGUUGGUAAGGUAACGGCUUACGAAGGCAACGAUGCGUAGCCGACCUGAGAGAGUGAUCGGCCACACGGGAACGGAGACACGGUCCAGACUCCUGCGGGAGGCAGCAGUAGGGAAUCUUCCGCAAUGGGCGAAAGCCUGACGGAGCAACGCCGCGUGAGUGAUAGAGGUCUUCGGAUCGUAAAACUCUGUUAUUAGGGAAGAACAAAUGUGUAAGUAACUAUGCACGUCUUGACGGUACCUAAUCAGAAAGCCACGGCUAACUACGUG